GACGAACGCUGGCGGCGUGCUUAACACAUGCAAGUCGAACGGUAAGGCCCUUCGGGGUACACGAGUGGCGAACGGGUGAGUCACACGUGGGUGAUCUGCCCUGCACUUCGGGAUAAGCCAGGGAAACUGGGUCUAAUACCGGAUAGGGCCACUGCCUGCAUGGGUGGUGGUGGAAAGCUUUUGCGGUGUGGGAUGGGCCCGCGGCCUAUCAGCUUGUUGGUGGGGUGAUGGCCUACCAAGGCGACGACGGGUAGCCGGCCUGAGAGGGUGACCGGCCACACUGGGACUGAGAUACGGCCCAGACUCCUACGGGAGGCAGCAGUGGGGAAUAUUGCACAAUGGGCGCAAGCCUGAUGCAGCGACGCCGCGUGAGGGAUGACGGCCUUCGGGUUGUAAACCUCUUUCAGCACCGACGAAGCGCAAGUGACGGUAGGUGCAGAAGAAGGACCGGCCAACUACGUGCCAGCCGCCGCAGUAA
rnacentral:rRNA from 1 species